rnacentral:rRNA from 1 species
AUGUCGGGCGUCGGCGUGCCACACCGGAAAGCCAUCGCUUCCCUCACCAUGUUAACUUGUUGGACUAUCUGGUGUGAAAGGAAUGCUAGGGUGUUCCAACACAAGUCUACUCUGCCGUCCGUCCUAUUACUCAACAUUCAGCGGGAGGCUAAGCUUUGGGUCAUGGCAGGAGCCAAACAUUUGGGUCUCUGUCGGGUGGUAGGUGCGACAUAUGCCAACGGGUGGCUUAUCAUGGUAGGAGCCAGUAAGACGUCGCCGGUGCCUGGAAACGGGAUGAGGCGAAGACAUGCACGCCGGCGAAUCUUACCCAGGUUCGGGGCUCUUCGUGGAGAUAACACCCCUAGUCCUGCUCUGCGGGGUCUCCGCAUGAUCACUAGAUCAGAAAGAGUAGCUACAAAUGCUCCUAGAGCUGUCGGGUUCAAGGGAGAAGAAGAGCAAGGCUAG